rnacentral:lncRNA from 1 species
CAGGUCCUGCUGCCAGGGGGGCUUUCUGAAAGAUGAUGGUGUAGCAACUCAAGUGCUGGGUUAAAAGAGCCUGUAGGGGUGAGUCAGGGAUUGGCAGGAAUUGAGCUUCCCACAUCGCUGGCUUCUGCAGCAACUGUGUGCCUAGCAGUGGCUGUCCUUGCCUGUCUUUUAGCUCAGGGGCAGUCACCAAUAUCAGGCCACCUUACUCCUGGUUGUAUUUGCAAUAAAUCUUUUAUUUUCCCCUCCUGUAGCUGUGGCCAGUGUAGGGAGUGGCACUGAUAGAAGAGAUACAGCUGCUGCCACGGAGGCCCAACAUCUGAGUUCAGAAUCUAAAGAAAAAACAUCAGCACAAAAAUCAGGGCACCCUUUUGGAAUCUUGAAAGCAGACUUUACCAUCUCAACUCUGAUGGACCCAGAAGAGAUGAAAGACCAAUUUCUGAGACAGAUCCAGGAAGUCUUAAAGCUUACAUUAGGUCACGAACAAUUUAGACUGAAAUGGGUCAGCUUCGAAGUGAACAAAAAAUAGCACAAUUCUUGGAUAUGCAGUUUCUGUUUCAUGCAAUCUUCUCUGGAUUUUGAGUAAAUUUUAAUUUUUUAAUCCCUAGUAGAACAAGAUUAGGAAGAACUCGACAUGUGCCAAAAAGCACAGACCUACAACUAACACAAAACAAGACUACACAUGAAACCUGC